rnacentral:rRNA from 1 species
UACGUAGGGGGCAAGCGUUGUCCGGAAUCAUUGGGCGUAAAGCGCGUGUAGGCGGCUCGGUAAGUCUGCUGUGAAAGUCCAGGGCUCAACCCUGGGAUGCCGGUGGAUACUGUCGAGCUCGAGUCCGGAAGAGGCGAGUGGAAUUCCUGGUGUAGCGGUGGAAUGCGCAGAUAUCAGGAGGAACACCAAUAGCGAAGGCAGCUCGCUGGGACGGUACUGACGCUAAGGCGCGAAAGCGUGGGGAGCGAACAGG